rnacentral:rRNA from 1 species
UACGUAGGGUGCAAGCGUUGUCCGGAAUUAUUGGGCGUAAAGAGCGUGUAGGCGGCCCGGUAAGUCCGCUGUAAAAGUCAAAGGCUCAACCUUUGAAUGUCAGUGGAUACUGCCGGGCUAGAGUCCGGAAGAGGCGAGUGGAACUCCUGGUGUAGCGGUGGAAUGCGCAGAUAUCAGGAAGAACACCAACGGCGAAGGCAGCUCGCUGGGACGGUACUGACGCUGAGACGCGAAAAGCGUGGGGGGAGCGAACAGG